ensembl:lncRNA
GCCGAACAGAGCAGGCGGACUAAAACUUUGCUAUCGAGGGCAGAGCGAAACCGGAAGGUUUACUGAGCUGUGGCUUCACGUAAAUGCUGAGCAUACACUCGACGGCGGUCAGGUUUUUUAUAUGGGACGAAUCCAAAGACCAGGUCAGCGAUUCCAGAACCCAGAGUGUUCCAGUGUUCACUGGAUGGCGAGCCAACCCAAGAUCCUAGGAGACGAUAUACAUACACAAGCACACUCAUUUGCACAUUGAUGGACUACAAUCCUCUACUGUACAAGUAGUACGGUAGGAUAGACAAUCACACACACUCUUACCAUUGGACGGACUCUAUUGCAAUACACCCGUUUUCAUGGGCCCCACCGGUACCAUUUGGACUUAAAAAAGACUAAUACUUUUACUUGUGCACAAUUUUAUUUUAUUCUAUUGUUUUGCUACUUUGGGGGAAAUUUUUAUACUGGAAGUUCUGUUAAAACCUGUUGAAAUACUGUGUUGUUUACAAAUUCCUUUUAAAAGGCUUAAAAUCACUAAAGCACUUUUAAGCCACACCACUGUGUUUGUCUGGUUUUUCUGCCAUUCAUGUACUAGAGCUCUAAGAGUCGUUCUUUAUCUUCUGAUACUAGCCCAAAUUACUCAUUACCUUGGUAGUUAUCCAUUGGUUCUGUAUACAACUCCACGUAAGUGCUACACUCACAUUUUGUCUCAGUUGACCUCAAUAGGUCACAUGACAAGGCCCACUCCCUUUUAUACACCUAGGCUGAGGUGAUGAGUCACAUGAUUAAUAGUGGCUCAAUAAAGCUCUUAAGCCACUUUUCCAUUAGCACCUAUUCA